GUCCAGACUCCUACGGGAGGCAGCAGUGGGGAAUAUUGCACAAUGGGGGGAACCCUGAUGCAGCGACGCCGCGUGAGUGAAGAAGUAUUUCGGUAUGUAAAGCUCUGUCAGCAGGGAAGAAGAAAGACGGUACCUGACCAAGAAGCCCCGACUAACUACGUGCCAGCAGCCGCGGUAAUACGUAGGGGGCAAGCGUUAUCCGGAUUUACUGGGUGUAAAGGGAGCGUAGACGGCAGGGCAAGUCUGGAGUGAAAGGCAGGGGCCCAACCCCUGGACUGCUCUGGAAACUGUCCGGCUGGAGUGCAGGAGAGGUAAGUGGAAUUCCUAGUGUAGCGGUGAAAUGCGUAGAUAUUAGGAGGAACACCAGUGGCGAAGGCGGCCUUCUGGGCCACGACUGACGCUGAGGCGCGAAAGCUAGGGGAGCGAACAGGAUUAGAUACCCGUGUAU
rnacentral:rRNA from 1 species